AUCCCAUGAUGAGGACACUUAGAAGUAACUCCUUGAAUCACUCUCAAGCCUUAAACAAAGGCUCGUCAUCCAAUUUUUGGAAGGUUGUGAUCUCAUUCCUCAACUU
rfam:Gossypium hirsutum cultivar TM-1 chromosome 6, whole genome shotgun sequence